rnacentral:rRNA from 1 species
UACAUAGGGGGCGAGCGUUAUCCGGAAUUAUUGGGCGUAAAGGGUGAGUAGGCGGUAAAUUAAGUUUGGGGUUUAAACACAGUGCUCAACGCUGUGGCGCUUCAAAAACUGAUUUACUAGAGUUAGACAGAGGCAAGUGGAAUUCCAUGUGUAGCGGUAAAAUGCGUAAAUAUAUGGAGGAACACCAGUGGCGAAGGCGGCUUGCUGGGUCUGGACUGACGCUGAGGCACGAAAGCGUGGGGAGCAAACAGG